UACGAAGGGGGCUAGCGUUGCUCGGAAUCACUGGGCGUAAAGGGUGCGUAGGCGGGUCUUUAAGUCCGGGGUGAAAUGCCAAGGCUCAACCUUGGAACUGCCUUUGAUACUGGAGACCUUGAGUCCGGGAGAGGUGAGUGGAAUUGCGAGUGUAGAGGUGAAAUUCGUAGAUAUUCGCAAGAACACCAGUGGCGAAGGCGGCUCACUGGCCCGGAACUGACGCUGAGAUGCGAAGGCGUGGGGAGCAAACAGG
rnacentral:rRNA from 1 species